GGGUCAGUAGGUUGGUCGUGCCACCGGUACGUACUGGUCUCACUGAUUCCUCCUUCCUGAAGAACCGUAAUGCCAUUAAUUUGGUGUUGCGGGGAAACAGGACUAUUACUUUGAAAAAAUUAGAGUGUUUAAAGCAAGCUAACGCUUGAAUACAUUAGCAUGGGAUAAUGAAAUAGGACGAUCGAUCCUAUUUUGUUGGUUUCUAGGAUUGACGUA
rnacentral:rRNA from 1 species